AUCCUAUUGGCUGCAGGUGGCGUUGGCAGCCAUCUUGUUCCACCAUCUUGAAUCCCAUUGGCUGCAGGUGGCGUUGGCAGCCAUCUUGGUCCACCAUUUUGAAUCCUAUUGGCUGCAGGUGGCACAGGUGGCCAUCUUGGUCUGCCAUCUUGAAUCCUAUUGGCUACCGGUGGUUUAGGUGGCCAUCUUGGUCCGCCAUCUUGAAUCCUAUUGGCUGUAGGUGGCAUUGGCGGCCAUCUUGUUCCACCAUUUUGAAUCCUAUUGGCUGCAGGUGGUGUUGGCAGCCAUCUUGGUCCGCCAUCUUGAAUCCCAUUGGCUGCAGGUGGCAUUGGCAGCCAUCUUGUUCCACCAUUUUGAAUCCUAUUGGCUGCAGGUGGAAUGGGGUUGGAGGCCAUCUUGGCCUGCUAUCUUGGAUCCCAUUGGCUGCAGGUGGUGUUGGCAGCCAUCUUGGUCUGCCAUCUUGAAUCUCAUUGGCUGUAGGUGGCAUAGGCGGCCAUGUUGGUCUGCCAUCUUGAAUCCCAUUGGCUGCAGGUGGUGUUGGCAGCCAUCUUGGUCCGCCAUCUUGAAUCCCAUCGGCUGCAGAUGGCACAGGUGGCCAUCUUGGCACACCACUUUGAAUCCCAUUGGCUGUAGAUGGCGUUGGCAGCCAUCUUGGGCCCCCACCCUGUUGCUCAGCCACCCCACGGCAGCCAUCUUGGUAGCCAUCUUGUAGCCCCCUCCUCCCCCACUAACACCCUCUGUGCUCAGCCCUCCCCCCGCCCCGCAGGGCUCCCCCUCCUCCUUUUGGGGAUAAUCCGAGGUGUUUUGGGGUCCGCGGGAGGAGGAAAUGGGGGGCUGGGCGGGAGAAACCCCCCCCCCCCCGCCCCCAAAUAUUAAACCUGUGGACUUUUUGGUGGAAA